UACGUAGGGUGCGAGCGUUGUCCGGAAUUACUGGGCGUAAAGAGCUCGUAGGUGGUUUGUCGCGUUGUUCGUGAAAACUCACAACUCAAUUGUGGGCGUGCGGGCGAUACGGGCAGACUGGAGUACUGCAGGGGAGACUGGAAUUCCUGGUGUAGCGGUGGAAUGCGCAGAUAUCAGGAGGAACACCGGUGGCGAAGGCGGCAUCCUGGACCGGCAUUGACGCUGAGGAGCGAAAGCCAGGGGAGCAAACGGG
rnacentral:rRNA from 1 species